AACGAACGCUGGCGGCAUGCCUAACACAUGCAAGUCGAACGAGACCUUCGGGUCUAGUGGCGCACGGGUGCGUAACGCGUGGGAACCUGCCCUUAGGUUCGGAAUAACUCAGAGAAAUUUGAGCUAAUGCCGGAUAAUGUCUUCGGACCAAAGAUUUAUCGCCUUUGGAUGGGCCCGCGUAGGAUUAGCUUGUUGGUGGGGUAAUGGCCUACCAAGGCGACGAUCCUUAGCUGGUCUGAGAGGAUGAUCAGCCACACUGGGACUGAGACACGGCCCAGACUCCUACGGGAGGCAGCAGUGGGGAAUAUUGGACAAUGGGCGAAAGCCUGAUCCAGCAAUGCCGCGUGAGUGAUGAAGGCCUUAGGGUUGUAAAGCUCUUUUACCAGGGAUGAUAAUGACAGUACCUGGAGAAUAAGCUCCGGCUAACUCCGUG
rnacentral:rRNA from 1 species